GCCGCUGUGGUGAAAUUGGUAGACACAAGAGACUCAAAAUCUCUCGAUAGCGAUAUCAUGUCGGUUCGAGUCCGACCAACGGUACCA
rnacentral:tRNA from 1 species